AGACUCUGAGUGGCACAAGGAGAGGAGCCAAAUCUGUUUUAUUCACUCCCGCAAAAGCUGCAGUUCCUGCCUCACACAGAGUCUCAGUGAAGCUAAAUAAGUUGCUUCCAGUUGCACAAGGGAGGCACAAGCCUCAACAAUGUUUGAAUUCCAGCCCAGCCUGCAAUUGCUGAGUGACCUUGAGGAGAUCACUGAAGACAUCUAGACUCCAGUGUCUUCACCUGCAAUAAGGGCAGGUUACAUUUAAAGUGCUAUGAAGAAUGUCUGGCAACAUAUGUGCCCAGGCUCAGCUGCUUGAGAAUUCCGAGUGCAUGGGCUGAGUAUGGGGCUGCUCCCGGCCUUGGCUGAUACCACCUGGCUCUGCCCGGGACUUUGAAAGAUGCAAUCCGGAAGAGGAAACAAUAUCUGUGUUGAGAGUAACUGCCCUUGGCCUGAAUUCGUCAAACAGGAUUUAUUGGGAGAAGGGGAGAGAAAGGAGGAGGGAGACAAACACACAGAAAGUAUAUUCU